rnacentral:lncRNA from 1 species
CCACAGAUGGGGUUUGCAGGAGCAAUGGCUGUAGGGACACUAAGAUUUCACCCUCCAGAAGACAGCAUCUUCCUGUGCCAUGGCUAGAUCACCAGCUACCCACAGACAGCCUGAACUCCAAUUGUCUUCCUGCACAUGUGCCUUUAAAGGAACUUUUCAAAUGUAGAGGAGCCUUUAGAAGGAAGCCUUGAGCAUGAGGACAGACCCCCCUCAUCCAACCACCACCUGACUCUGUGUGAACCUGGAACUGUUAGAAUGUCUGUGCUGUGAUAAAAGGUCAUCUCCCUACAAUGUUAUGAUACAGACCUCAAACCUACAAACAUGAGGAACUUCUGCCUCCAGGUUAACUGCUUACCCACUGUACAAGACACGUUACACACAGUCCAGGAGGCGGAGCUUCUGAGAUAUCUAGAAACAGCUUAGAGGCAAAAUGACAAAAUAAAGCAGCAACAACAAAUAAAACCAAUCUUCUCGAACU